rnacentral:rRNA from 1 species
AUACAGAGGGUGCAAGCGUUAAUCGGAAUUACUGGGCGUAAAGGGCGCGUAGGUGGCUAUUUUAGUCGGAUGUGAAAAGCUUGGGCUUAACCUGAGUCUGUCAUUCGAUACUGGGUAGCUAGAGUAUAGUAGAGGGAAGUGGAAUUUCCGGUGUAGCGGUGAAAUUCGUAGAUAUCUAGAGGAACACCAGUGGCGAAGGCGGCCACCUGGACGAUGACUGACGCUGAGACGCGAAAGCGUGGGGAGCAAACAGGAUUAGAUACCCCAGUAGUCC